CCUACGGGUGGCAGCAGUGGGGAAUAUUGGACAAUGGGCGAAAGCCUGAUCCAGCCAUGCCGCGUGUGUGAAGAAGGCCUUCGGGUUGUAAAGCACUUUCAGUGGGGAAGAAAGCCUUGGGGCUAAUACCCUCGAGGAAGGACAUCACCCACAGAAGAAGCACCGGCUAACUCCGUGCCAGCAGCCGCGGUAAUACGGAGGGUGCGAGCGUUAAUCGGAAUUACUGGGCGUAAAGCGCGCGUAGGCGGUCUGAUAAGCCGGUUGUGAAAGCCCCGGGCUCAACCUGGGAACGGCAGCCGGAACUGUCAGGCUAGAGUGCAGGAGAGGAAGGUAGAAUUCCCGGUGUAGCGGUGAAAUGCGUAGAGAUCGGGAGGAAUACCAGUGGCGAAGGCGGCCUUCUGGACUGACACUGACGCUGAGGUGCGAAAGCGUGGGUAGCAAACAGGAUUAGAUACCCGAGUAGUC
rnacentral:rRNA from 1 species